UGGGGAAUUUUGGACAAUGGGCGAAAGCCUGAUCCAGCAAUGCCGCGUGUGUGAAGAAGGCCUUCGGGUUGUAAAGCACUUUUGUCCGGAAAGAAAUCCUUGGCUCUAAUACAGUCGGGGGAUGACGGUACCGGAAGAAUAAGCACCGGCUAACUACGUGCCAGCAGCCGCGGUAAUACGUAGGGUGCAAGCGUUAAUCGGAAUUACUGGGCGUAAAGCGUGCGCAGGCGGUUUGCUAAGACCGAUGUGAAAUCCCCGGGCUCAACCUGGGAACUGCAUUGGUGACUGGCAGGCUAGAGUAUGGCAGAGGGGGGUAGAAUUCCACGUGUAGCAGUGAAAUGCGUAGAGAUGUGGAGGAAUACCGAUGGCGAAGGCAGCCCCCUGGGCCAAUACUGACGCUCAUGCACGAAAGCGUGGGGAGCAAACAGGAUUAGAUACCCUGGUAGUCCACGCCCUAAACGAUGUCAACUAGUUGUUGGGGAUUCAUUUCCUUAGUAACGUAGCUAACGCGUGAAGUUGACCGCCUGGGAGUACGGUCGCAAGAUUAAAACUCAAAGGAAUUGACGGGG
rnacentral:rRNA from 1 species